UACGGAGGGUGCAAGCGUUAUCCGGAUUCACUGGGGUUAAAGGGUCCGUAGGCGGUCUAGUAAGUCAGUGGUGAAAGCCCAUCGCUCAACGGUGGAACGGCCAUUGAUACUGCUGGACUUGAAUUAUUAGGAAGUAACUAGAAUAUGUAGUGUAGCGGUGAAAUGCUUAGAGAUUACAUGGAAUACCAAUUGCGAAGGCAGGUUACUACUAAUGGAUUGACGCUGAUGGACGAAAGCGUGGGUAGCGAACAGG
rnacentral:rRNA from 1 species